GAUGAACGCUGGCGGCGUGCUUAACACAUGCAAGUCGAACGGAAAGGCCGAAGCUUGCUUCGGUUCUCGAGUGGCGAACGGGUGAGUAACACGUGGGUGAUCUGCCCUGUACUUCGGGAUAAGCUUGGGAAACUGGGUCUAAUACCGGAUAUGACGAUCUCUUGGAUGGGGUUGUGGAAAGCUUUUGCGGUAUGGGAUGAGCUGGCGGCGUAUUAGCUUGUUGGUGGGGUAAUGGCCUACCAAGGCGUCGACGGGUAGCCGGCCUGAGAGGGUGUACAGCCACACGGGAACUGAGAGACGGUCCAGACUCCUACGGGAGGCAGCGGUGGGGAAUAUUGGACAAGGGGCGCAAGCCUGAUCCAGCCAUACCGCGUGGGUGAAGGAGUCCUUCGGGUUGUAAAGCCCUUUUGUUGGGAAAGAAAAGCAGCAGGUUAAUACCCCGCUGUUCUGACGGUACCCAAAGAAUAAGCACCGGCUAACUUCGUG
rnacentral:rRNA from 1 species